rnacentral:rRNA from 1 species
CUUGGUCAUUUAGAGGAAGUAAAAGUCGUAACAAGGUUCCCUUCUGCAGCGCAGCUCCGGAGACCUUGCACCCCGCAAGGGAGGCAGCACGACAGUAAACAAAGCUCGCCGCGUGCAAGUUGGCUUGGUAGCCAGCAACACAAUCGAAUUGACGGGGACCUCCUAAAGCCUGCAACACCAACCGUCCGGGGAAACUCGGGCGGGGCCCUCACGGGGUGGUAAGAGAGUGCAGGAUGAACAAUGGACGAUCCGCAGCGAAGACCCUACCGGCGAGAGCCCACGGGUACCGUUCACAGACUAAGUGAUUGUGGGCGGGGCGUCAUGUCCCGUCUAAGAUAUAGUCGGCCUUUGCCCGAAAGGACAGAGCCUAGCGUGUCCGUAGGUGAACCUGCGGAAGGAUCAUUAAAGAAUCGCCCCGUUUUUUGAAAUGGGUUCUAUUCCCAAACCGUGUCUACAUACCUUUGUUGCUUUGGCAGGCCGCCACUUAGGCGUUGGCUCCGGCUGACUGCGCCUGCCAGAGGACCCAAACUCGUUUGUUUAGUGAUGUCUGAGUACUAUAUAAUAGUUAAAACUUUCAACAACGGAUCUCUUGGUUCUGGCAUCGAUGAAGAACGCAGCGAAAUGCGAUAAGUAAUGUGAAUUGCAGAAUUCAGUGAGUCAUCGAAUCUUUGAACGCACAUUGCGCCCCUUGGUAUUCCGAGGGGCAUGCCUGUUCGAGCGUCAUUAUAACCACUCAAGCCUAGCUUGGUAUUGGGGUUCGCGGUCUCGCGGCCCUUAAAAUCAGUGGCGGUGCCGUCUGGCUCUAAGCGUAGUAAUUUAUCUCGCUAUUGGGUCCGGCGGUUGCUUGCCAACAACCCCCAACUUCUAAGGUUGACCUCGGAUCAGGUAGGGAUACCCGCUGAACUUAAGCAUAUCAAUAAGCGGAGGA